AAAGUCUGCCUUCUGGAAGAACCAUUCUGACAAUUUCCUGUGCUGUCAGAUAGCUCCACAGAAUUCAGUUUCUGAGAACCAGCCAGAGGCAUGCAGUGACAUUGCGUAACCGCUUCUGAAGUGAGAGAUAUCAGCUGCCGGGCUCAGAGGAGCUGGUUCACAGGAGCAACAUGAAAGGAGCAGGCAUCCUGGACGGAGCGCCCAAGACCCUCUUGGCCAAGGCACUUUAUGACAACCACCCCGACUGCGCCGAUGAGCUGGCUUUCUGCAGAGGAGACAUCCUGACAAUUCUGGAACAAAAUGUACCGGAAAGUGAAGGCUGGUGGAAGUGUCUGCUCCACGGGAGGCAAGGCCUGGCCCCUGCCAACCGCCUCCAAAUCCUAGCGGAGGCCCCCACAGACAGGCCUCGUCCCCCUUUCCUGAAAGGCCUAGACAAUGCUCCCGCCAUCUCCCAGGAGACCUAUGAGGUGCCUGCCCUGCUCAACCCCUCAUCUCCUGUGUACGAGCAGAUGAAGAGUUGGGUGGAGGGGCCCCCGCCUCCCACAGUCCAAGUUUACGAAGUCCCUGACCCACCUACCUGUGCCAGAAUCGUCUGUGAAAAGACCCUAAGCUUUCCAAAACAGGCUGUCUUCAUGAUUCCCAGACCUGCUCGGACCUCAUUACCAGCCCUCGCUUGCCAGGUGUACGACGUGCCUGCUCAGAACCGGUGCCCACCAACCCUGAAGGAGCCAGGCACGCAGCAGCUAUAUGAUAUCCCCCCCAGCCCCCAAAAGGCAGCACUGGGUCCCCUGGCCAGCCAAACAAAUAGGCAGAAUAUUCCCCCGACAUCAAGCAUCGCCUUAAGGAGGGGUGGCUGCAACACAUUGCCAAGCCCUCAGAAAUCAGAAUGGGUUUAUGACACGCCAGUGUCUCUGGAAAAGGCUGAUGUAAGAAAUGCAUCUCCAAGUAGCUCUGUGGAAAAAUCGGGGCACCAUGCCCUCCCCAGGUGUAUGUCCAGCUUCCACAGCCCUCCGAGCAGCAGAGCAGGGACUCCCAGUCCACACCCACAGAAAAACAUGCCCAUGCAGAAAAAAUUCAGCCUUCCAGAAAUUCCUUCUUAUAGCUUUCCACUAGCCAAGGGUGCAUUCCCUUUGGAUGAAGGUGUCAGCUACAAGGUUCCUUCAAGUUUUCUGAUCCCCCGAGUGGAGCAGCAGAACACCAAGCCGAAUAUUUACGACAUCCCUAAAGCAAGGCCGAGGGACCCUCAGUCUGGGAAAGAGCUGGGAAAAGCCAACAUGCCUUCAGAGAAUUCCUUGGACCAUAACUCCUCAUGGUUUUCCAGCCAGGCAGCAUCGCUGUCCCCUGAACCAGACAGCUCUUCUGUGUCCAGCUCUGACAGUAGAGCCAGCAUUCUUUCCUCCUGCUCCUCCACAUCCACUGACUCUUCGUCCAGCUCCUUCUCAGAGGAGUCAGCCAGAGAGCUCCCCUUGGACCUGGACCUGGCCAGAGAGACGGUCACAGUUCUGCAGCACAAGGUGGCCAACUCCGUCGGGGGCCUGAUGCUCUUUGUCAGUAGGAAGUGGAGGUUCAGGGACUCUCUGGAGGCCAACAUCGAUGCAAUCCGCAGGGCCGCUGACCGCACAGAGGAAUCCUUGAGAGAAUUCCUGGAUUUUGCCCAAGGAGUCUGUGGAACCACCUGCAACCUCACCAACAGUAACCUUCAGGCCAGAAUUAGGGAUCAGCUACAGACGAUCUCCAACUCCUACCAAAUCCUGCUUGAAACAAAGGAAAGGCUGGAGAGCUGCGAUUGGUCCCUGGAAGUCCUUGUGACCGACAAAAUCCAGAACAGCCCGGAUGACCUGGAGAGAUUUGUUCAGGUGGCACGGAUGGUUCCAGAAGACGUCAAGAGGUUCGCCUCCAUCAUCAUUGCCAAUGGGAGGCUCCUUUUCAAGCCGAACUGUGAAAAGGAAGAUCCCGUGCAAUUGACCCCAAGUGCAGAGUUUAAGCUUGCCAAAUCCAUCCAGCUUCCCAAAAGGGAGAUUGAAUCCUAUCAAAGGAACACUCCUUUUCAUAAGCAAAAAGAAAGCAAACACUCUCCUGAACUACUAGAGAAGAACAGGACAAAUGUUUGUGAACAGAAGUUGCCUUGCCUGGAAGAGAGAGAAAAGCCCAUCUUGGAACAAAGGUCGGAUGAAAACAGCGACUUAGAAACACAGAAUUCCAGCUCCCUGGUCCCCCGGCCUUUGAGUCAGCAGAAUCCUGAGAAGAAAAUUCGCCUUUCUGAACAUUGCCGCCUCUAUUUUGGGGCGCUCUUCAAAGCCAUCGGCGUGCUGAACAGCAGCCUCCAGAACAGCCAACCCCCCGAGACCUUCAUCACGCAGAGCAAGCUGGUCAUCACGGUCGGGCAGAAGCUGGUGGACAGGCUGUGCCGGGAGACCCAGGAGCGGGACGUGCGCAAUGAGAUCCUGAGAGGCAGCAGCUGCCUCUGCAGCCUGCUCAAGGACUUAGCGCUGGCCACCAAGCAAGCCGUGCUCCAGCACCCCAGCCCCGCCGCCCUGCAGCACCUCCAGGCUGAAGCCAAGAAGCUGGAACAGCAUGCACAGCAAUUCAGGGGGAUGUUGGAAUAA
rnacentral:lncRNA from 1 species